UCACCGUUUGCACGGGCAGUUCCAUUAGAGUCCCCAACUAAAUGCUGGCAACAUACGACGGGGGUUGCGCUCGUUGCGGGACUUAACCCAACAUCUCACGACACGAGCUGACGACAGCCAUGCACCACCUGUGAAGGUGCCCCGAAGGGAAGCCGUGUUUCCACGGCGGUCACCCACAUGUCAAGCCCAGGUAAGGUUCUUCGCGUUGCGUCGAAUUAAACCACAUGCUCCGCUGCUUGUGCGGGCCCCCGUCAAUUCCUUUGAGUUUCAGUCUUGCGACCGUACUCCCCAGGCGGCGAACUUAACGCGUUAGCUUCGAUACUGCGUGCCAAAUUGCACCCAACAUCCAGUUCGCAUCGUUUAGGGCGUGGACUAC
rnacentral:misc_RNA from 1 species